CAGCAGCUUCCCUAUGCAAAGGAAAAAAGGAAUUGCCUCAGAGCCACAGCAGUUAGCGAGGGGUUGAGGUCGUUUUCUUGUGAAAUGUUUAGCAAUUACCCUUACCCACAACUUAGGCAAUGUUGACCAUUGAGGUAAAAGGAUCCACUCUAUGUGAUGUGUAACUGUGUGGCUGUUGGCUUUACCAAAUAUGAAUGACUAAGGUUGGAGUCGAUGGUAUCUGAAGUAGGCAGAACUGGAGAAAAAUGAUUUCUAUUUCAUGUGUUGCUUUGAGCGAAUCCCUCCCUGAGUUCGCUAUAGUAAAAGAUUUGUGCAGGCACUGCAUUAAAUGAUGGAGAUUUAGCAUUGAAUAAGGUAGUUGAAAGCUCUGCCUAAUUCUCAAAGACUCUCCACUCUACUGGAUAUGAUGAUCUUCUUUUAUUGAACACCUGCUGUGUGCUAGAUGUUGAGUACCCAAAAGCAAGAAUUAUGGGAGACUUCAAUGCCUGUGGAGACUGCUGUUUUCUUCUGAAGGCCCAGGCUGCGCCCAUAGAGUUUGGGGGGAAGAUUAAAUGAGAUGAAGCAGUGGCUUUCAAACUUUUUAGAUAGUGAGCCAUUGUAAGAAUUAUAUUUUGUACUAUGACAAGUAUACUUGUUUAAAGUAGGUACAAUGAAUACUGUUGUUAAUUGUGCUCCUUUUUGAAGAAGUGUGGGUACUGAUUCCUAGUAUAAAAUAUAUGUACAGUAGAGGAAUGCUUUGAUACCUGUAUUUGUUUAAAAGGUAAGGGGGAGUGAAUGAUAUAUUAUAAUAGCCAUGGCAAAAUUUGUUUAUAAGUCUUUGUUUAACAAAUCAUGAAUUUAAGUUUAAGUGAAAUAAAUAAAAAGAAAUAUAUGCAAUAUAAAGGGAAUCUAUAUAUAAUUGAAAUAGUAUACACACAUAUACACUAAUUUAUAUUUGAUUCAA